rnacentral:SRP_RNA from 1 species
GUCGAACUUGGUCACGUGAGCUUGUAACUCAAGUGAGUGCAUAGAAGGAAAUGGAACAUGAACACAAAUUUCUGUGUCGGGUCUAAUAGGCUUCAUUUUAGGCCAGCCCGUUUCAAGCAAAGAGAUGGGCCGUGUGGUUUCGGCGUAAGGCCACAUCGCACGGCCCUUAAAGCGAAGGGGAACACGUCAAGCUAGCUCACGUAGCAACGACAACCUCCUGCUCUUUGUAGGCACUAGGCAAACAAGCUAAAGCACGAGGAUACAACAAAAUAAGAGAGCAAAAGAAUUU